GUUAUACUUCCUCCGUCGGACGUUUCAAAUUUGUCAAAAUUUGAAUGUAUCUAGAUAUGACUUAGUGUAUAGAUACAUUUAAAUUUAGUCCAAGUUGAGACAUCCUUUGUUGAACGGAAAGAGUAUAUA
rnacentral:pre_miRNA from 1 species